CCUACGGGAGGCAGCAGCUAAGAAUCUUCCGCAAUGGGCGAAAGCCUGACGGAGCGACGCCGCGUGGACGAUGAAGGCCGCAAGGUUGUAAAGUCCUUUUCUCUGUGAAGAAUAAGCGGGGGAGGAAAUGCCCCUGUGAUGACGUUAGCAGAGGAAUAAGCCCCGGCUAAUUACGUGCCAGCAGCCGCGGUAAU
rnacentral:rRNA from 1 species